AUUGAACGCUGGCGGCAUGCUUUACACAUGCAAGUCGAACGGUAACAGGCCGCAAGGUGCUGACGAGUGGCGAACGGGUGAGUAAUGCAUCGGAACGUGCCCAGUCGUGGGGGAUAACGCAGCGAAAGCUGUGCUAAUACCGCAUACGAUCUAUGGAUGAAAGCGGGGGACCGUAAGGCCUCGCGCGAUUGGAGCGGCCGAUGUCAGAUUAGGUAGUUGGAGGGGGAAAGGCCUACCAAGCCGACGAUCUGUAGCUGGUCUGAGAGGACGACCAGCCACACUGGGACUGGGACACGGCCCAGACCCCUACGGGGGGCAGCAGUGGGGAAUUUUGGACAAUGGGCACAAGCCUGAUCCAGCAAUGCCGCGUGCAGGAAGAAGGCCUUCGGGUUGUAAACUGCUUUUGUACGGAACGAAACGGUCUGGGUUAAUACCCUGGGCUAAUGACGGUACCGUAAGAAUAAGCACCGGCUAACUACGUGCCAGCAGCCGCCGUAACAC
rnacentral:rRNA from 1 species